rnacentral:lncRNA from 7 species
UGAGGAGGAGGACAGAUCUUAUUUCUCAGGAGCAAAUCCUGUGGAAAGAAAUUUCCUAAGCUGUUGACCUUUAAAGGAAUGCACGAUACACUUUAAAUACAAUUCCUCUUAUCUAGCUUAAGCUAGCUGUACUGAAGUUGCAUUUGAUUCAACUGAUUGGACUUGUUUUGCAGCCACCAGAGUGAAGCAGACAAUUAAUUCUUCAGGUUUACAACAGCCGACCAUUGGUUACAUAAUUCUGAAUGUAAUGGAAGGAACAAAAUACCUGUGAAAAUCAUCCUAAUGCUUGCAUGCCAUUCUUCAACAUCUUGAAUAGCCUCUGGGUGUCUUAAAAGCUACAUGCAAUUCUCCUAUUUUUUACCACAAUUAUACUUUUUUAAUGCUAUAUGUAUAACAGGUGACUUAUCAAUAUUGGAUAAGGUUUGCCCGCACCACUCAGCCUAUUUUCCAACAUAACAGCUGAAAAAUUUUUCAUGAAUAGCAGUUACUUUGCUCUAAAAAAUUGCAUUUAAAAUAAAAUUGGAUUGUGGGAAAGAUAAUCAAUAGUUUAAACAUUUGACUUGAAAGCAACGUGGAGAUCAAAAACAGGUUUUAUAACAGGUUAGAUAUUUUAACAGCACUGUGCUGUGUACUUAGUCAGCUCUUAGCAGCAUGACUGCAACCAUGAUAAUAUUUAUAUAGCAUCAUAAUACAGCAGAACAAGAAUGAUGUUGUCAAAAGGACGCUUUUAUAACUUCUGAAACCUUAAAGUGGUAAGGAAAUUACAGCUGAAAUCUAACUCUUUUAAGGCAUAAAUCCUAAAUUCACUGUGGAUUUGCCCAGAAAUAAUGGAUUGGCCAUCAGAUUUGGAUGUUAGCAAAACAAGUAAGGUAUGACCAGUUGGUAACACUGGCUUAGGAAAGUACAUGAGGUACACAGCUCUGACUUACCUGGCUGCUGACAGAAGAUGAAUGAAUUGGUAGCAAAGCACCUGGAAAACCAAUGAUAGAUCAUUUAGAUCCAAAGAAAAAUCAGUUAUAUUACUCUAUCAUCUGAUAUAACUAGCUGUAAACUUGCUGUGUUUGUAAGUGGUCUGUAGCCACUUAUAAAUGAAAUCUGUGGGGUGUUUUGUCACUGUUUUCUAUUUUGUCACGUGCCACCCAAUAAAUAUACUUAGU